AUUGAACGCUGGCGGCAGGCCUAACACAUGCAAGUCGAACGAGUGGCGGACGGGUGAGUAAUGUCUGGGAAACUGCCUGAUGGAGGGGGAUAACUACUGGAAACGGUAGCUAAUACCGCCUACCAUCAGAUGUGCCAAGAUGGGAGUAGCUUGUUGGUGUGGUAACGCUUCACCAAGGCGACGAUCCCUUGCUGGUCUGAGAGGAUGACGCGCAACACUGGAGCUGGGACAAGGUCCAGAAUCCUAAGUGAGGCAGGAGCGGGGAAUAUUGGAGAGUGGGCGGGAGGCUGAUGCAGCCAUGCGGCGUGUAUGAGGAAGGCCUUCGGGUUGUAGAGUACUAUAAGCGGGGAGGCGGUACCCGCAGAAGAAGCACCGGCUAACUCCGUGCCAGCAGCCGCGGUAAUUC
rnacentral:rRNA from 1 species